rnacentral:rRNA from 1 species
AAUUCUAGAGCUAAUACAUGCACGAAAGCUCCGACCCUUGAGGAAAGAGCGCAUUUAUUACACCAAAACCAAUCGAGUACUUCGGUGCUUGUGUUUUGGUGACUCUGAAUAACUUAGUUGAUCGCACAGUCUUAGUACUGGCGACGUAUCUUUCAAAUGUCUGCCUUAUCAACUUUCGAUGGUAGGUUAUACGCCUACCAUGGUUAUAACGGGUAACGGAGAAUUAGGGUUCGACUCCGGAGAGGGAGCCUGAGAAACGGCUACCACAUCCAAGGAAGGCAGCAGGCGCGCAAAUUACCCAAUCUCAGAACGAGGAGGUAGUGACGAAAAAUAACAAAACAGUCCACUCUGUGGUCUGUUAUCGGAAUGGGUACAAUUUAAAUCUUUUAACGAGGAUCCAUUGGAGGGCAAGUCUGGUGCCAGCAGCCGCGGUAAUUCCAGCUCCAAUAGCGUAUAUUAAAGUUGUUGCAGUUAAAAAGCUCGUAGUUGGAUCUCGGGUCCGAGCUGGCGGUUCGAUUCGCGACGACACUGCCCGUCCCGGACCUACCUGCCGGACGUCUCGUCGUGCUCUUCGCUGAGUGCGUCCAGUGACUGGAACGUUUACUUUGAACAAAUUAUAGUGCUCAAAGCAAGCCGUUUGCCUGAAUAACCGCGCAUGGAAUAAUGGAAUAGGACCUCGGAUCUAUUUU